rnacentral:rRNA from 1 species
GACGAACGCUGGCGGCGUGCCUAAUACAUGCAAGUCGAACGCUUCUUUCCUCCCGAGUGCUUGCACUCAAUUGGAAAGAGGAGUGGCGGACGGGUGAGUAACACGUGGGUAACCUACCCAUCAGAGGGGGAUAACACUUGGAAACAGGUGCUAAUACCGCAUAACAGUUUAUGCCGCAUGGCAUAAGAGUGAAAGGCGCUUUCGGGUGUCGCUGAUGGAUGGACUCGCGGUGCAUUAGCUAGUUGGUGAGGUAACGGCUCACCAAGGCCACGAUGCAUAGCCGACCUGAGAGGGGGAUAGGCCACACUGGGACGGAGACACGGCCCAGACUCCUACGGGAGGCAGCAGUAGGGAAUCGUCGGCAAUGGACGAAAGUCUGACCGAGCAACGCCGCGUGAGUGAAGAAGGUUUUCGGAUCGUAAAACUCUGUUGUUAGAGAAGAACAAGGACGUUAGUAACUGAACGUCACCUGACGGUAUCUAACCAGAAAGCCACGGCUAACUACGUG